CGAGCCUGGAACAAUGUGGAGCGUAAAAACAAUUCAAAGAAUAUUUCUGAUACCAUUUGCAGGCUAUUUCUCAUAUCAGGAGUGUUUUGGCUAAUGGAAAUAUUUGCAUAUUUAUUUAACAUAGAAUUGUUUGCCUUAAUUAAAGCUGGACAAGGAUUAAUACUGCCUUUCGUAACUAUCUGUAACAAAAAAGUUAUUCGUGACUUAAAUCAAAGGUUGAACCCAAAAAGAAAGAAAGAUUGCGAACCGGUCACAACCAUGGAAUAGCGAGCAAGAUAUCUUAUCAAAUCAACUACAUAUAUCUACAUUAACUUUCAUUAUAUAUCUUAAUAGAAAUAACUAAAACAACGAUGACAAAAUGUAUAUACGAAAUGCAAGUUAUCCGAUAACGAUAAAAUAAAAUCAUAAUUACAUUUAAAUAACAAGUACACUAGUGCACUUACCGCAGUAACAAUAAAUACUUCGAGGAAAGCACCUCUCAUUUCUCUGUCUAUUCACUAUGUUCAAAAUAAUAAACGCUCUUUUCAUACUGAGGGUUAUCCUUGUUGCCGUAGCAGAGAUGCCUUGCAAAUUGUUAAACCACAAUCUUUUUGCUACCGAAAAUUUC